rnacentral:tRNA from 36 species
CGGAGCGUAGCGCAGCCUGGUAGCGCACCUGAUUUGGGAUCAGGGGGUCGGAGGUUCGAAUCCUCUCGCUCCGACCA